UGGUGGUAAUUGAAGGAAAUUAGGGAGACCCAUGCCUCUGUGGGUUUUGGGGAUGUACAUUGUGGUUCUCUGCACCUGGGGUUUCCAACCUUUCCAGACAAACCUAUCAAUUGUCGCUUGUAAUCGUUUAAAGUCUGAGAUUCUAAUCAGGAUGGGAAGUAUCUGGAAUAGAGACAGUGCAGCAAGAGAUUCAUUUUUAUAUUUGUGACUUUACCCAGCCAAGAAAUCCCCCAGUUGGCAGUGAAAACGGGAUAUGUACUGUUGAUAGAUAUUUUGCAGCAGAG